UUCAAUAUGCAAUACAGGCACAAAGUCAUUAAAACACAGUGAGCAGAGGCUGAAAAGGAACAUGUUUUCCUAUCUUAGACAAGCAUCAGCUAUAAAUAAGUGCUCUACACAUACAAAUGUUUCCGAAUCAAAGGGAAGAAAGCAAAGGUCUAACUGCCAUGUAAACUCAUUUUAAAUGUCAUGUCUUAUUAGAACCAAAUAAGUGGAAUGUCUGUUUCCCCCCUUUGGUUGAGCCAUCAAAUUUGUCAAAAUUUUAUGAUAAUUCAUUCUAUCAUUCCUCAGACAUUUAAAUGACAGACAGUCCUUGGGAAAAAAAAUCCCUGUAAUCCUACUCUUCAUGUUAAACUGCCUCCAGAGAGGUUUUUAAAAUACACCACAUCAUGGUAGAAGCAGAGCCCUAAACUUCUCAAUUCCACUUAUGAUUUGCUGCCUUUUUGGAAAAUGACAAUAAAUUGGCUCUCUACUAUUCUUGACCUCUUGACUUCUGAACCAUGGCUGUCCAUGCCUUAACUUUGCUUGUUUAAGUCAGUAGCUAUCGUAUCACUCUGAUCCUCUCCCAGAGGGUCUGGAGAUUUAACUCUCCUGAACGGUUAAGCUCCCCCUCUAGUGUUCACUGCUCAUCAUAUUAUUCCUCCAAGAAGGAGGAAAGAGAGAUGCCACUUUAUAACUUCACACAGAGACGGCUGCUACUCACUUAUACCUUCAGAGUAUAAUAGCAUGAAGACAAAAAGAUAGUCCACAAACAACUGGCCCCAACACUAAAGCGUACUCAGGUGUGACCAACAAAACUCAGAAGCAAAACAAAGAUAAGUUCAUGUCAAUUCUGUCCUCCGUUUCUGAAGCAGUAAGGUUGGGGAGUGGCUGCUCUCAGUAGCAACAUGCUACACUUUGAUGAGGGACUUAAUACAUUUAAAGUGGCUCAACUGCUCUGGCAAUGCAAGAAUUUGGAGGAAACCUUGUUGUAACUACAUUGUUUUGCAUGGAGACUAGA